AGCAAUUGGAGAAGAUUGCAGAGUAAGUUCCAUAUCUUAAUUAGGAACUUACUCUGCAAUCUUCUCCAGUUGCU
rnacentral:miRNA from 1 species